AUUUUUAGGCUUUUAGCCAAUUAGAAGAGAAAAAUCAGGAAAAUUGAAGAGGGAUUCGGGCAUUCGGCCAUUAUUGAGGAUUUAGGGAUUUAGGGAUUCGUACCUUCUUUGUUUCUCUGAGAAGUGACAACGAAGGUUUAACGCAAAGAUUAGUUGCUGCUCCGAUCAUUUUCCAUUGUUUUGUCAGCAGCUUUGAUCAAUUUUUCUUUCCUUUGCUUUGCUAGUUGCUGUGAGAAUCUGAGGCAAGCAAUUGGAAGUUCGAAGUUCCAAGUGGAACUCCAGAAUUCCGCUUGAAGCUACCGCUGCCACCGAAGUUGCCAUUGAAGCCUUGAAGCUUUGUUGUCGGUAAGCCAGUGAAGCCUUGCAGCUGGGCACACACCACGGCACCAAUGAAGCAAAUAUUUGUAAUGGACUCUAUUUGAGCAACACCGUCUCAAACACCAAAUACAAAACCCACACCUAGUACAUCAAAUUUUCAAAAUCAACCUCUAACAAGGGGAAAGACGGACCCUGCAUGGUCUCAUUGUAGAGAAGAUUCUGUGUCCAACAAAAAAGUUAAGUGCUUAGUAUGCAUUCAUUGUGGAAAAAGAAUUCGAGGAGAUGGUAUCAAUCGAUUCAAGCAGCACCUUGUAGGCGUAAAAGGGGAGACAACACCUUGUCCGAAGGUUGAUGAACAGAUUAGAUUUGAAAUGCUAGAAAACUUGAAAGUGGAAAGUAAGAAAAGAAGCUUGAAAGAACGCUCAAGGGGAAGUGAUUUAUAUGGUCAAGAUCUAAGACAACAUGAAGAGGAGGUAUACAUGCAAGAUACAGAAGAUAUUCAAGAGAUUCAACCACCUCCCACUACUGAAGUUUCAAAAGGAAAAAAAGUUCUUCAACAUCACAAAAAAGGAAAAACAAUAGGGUCUUUUUUUAUGCCAAGAGUUACUCCAGGAGGUCAACCAUCCAUCAAAAGUGUGAUGCAAAGCAAAGAAGCUAAAGAGAAGGUUGACUUGGCAGUUGCGAAGUGGAUGAUUGAUGCUUCCAUCCCCUUUAAUGCAUCAACCUCUGCAUAUUAUCAAACAAUGUUUGAUGCUGCUUGUUCUUUUGGAGCUGAUUACAAAGCGCCUAAUUUCUAUGACUUGCGUGGCUAUUUAUUGACAAAAAUGUUAAGCAAGUUAAGAAUUUUGUUAAUAGCUUUCAUACAACUUGGAAAGAAACUGGAUGUACUAUUAUGGCUGAUGGAUAGACUGACCAACAGAGGAGAACUCUCAUCAACUUUCUAGCUUAUUGCCCUAGAGGAACUAUUUUUUUGAAAUCAGUUGAUGCCUCGGAUGCUUCUAAGACUGCAGAGAUGUUGUAUAAGCUGUUUAGAGAAGUGGUUUUAUUUGUUGGGGUGAAAAAUGUGGUACACUUCGUCACUGACAAUGCUGCCAAUUAUGUUGCUGCUGGAAGAUUAUUAGAAAGGGAAUUUCCAACACUUUAUUGGUCUUCAUGUGCUGCUCAUUGCCUAAAUUUGAUGUUGCAUGAUGUGGGCAAAUUAGAUGAGGUUAGUAAAGUGGUUGAACAUGCUUCAAAAAUAACAAAAUACAUUUAUAAUCAUUGUUAUCCAUUGUAUUUGAUGAGAAAGCACACUGGUGGAAAAGAAAUUAUUCGGCCUGCUCCUACAUGUUUUGCUACUAAUUUUAUUGCAUUGCAAAGUAUUUUAGUGCAAAAAGAUGCUUUAAUAGAUAUGGUGACUUCAAAAGAAUGGACUCUUUCAGCAUAUGCUAAGGAGAGUAAAGCAAAAAAAUUUGUGGAUCUUAUGCUAGAUUCUAUGUUUUGGAAAGAAUGUGCUGCAAUAGUUCAAUUAACUGAGCCUCUUAUUUGAGUUCUAAGAAUUGUUGGUAGUGAUGAAAGGCUGCUAUGGGAUACUUGUAUGUUGCCAUGCAUAGAGCCAGAGAAGAGCUAUUGAGAAGAUUCUCAAGAAAAAAGAAAACUAUUGAUCCUUUCUUAAGAAUAAUUGAUUUAAGAUGGGAUAGUCAGCUUCACAAAAAUCUUCAUGCUGUCGGUUAUUGGCUUAAUCCUGCUUAUCAAUAUAAUUCUCUGAUUUGGAAAAGCAUAGGCACGCAACAUCAGGACUUUUGGAUGUGAUUGAGAGAUAUUCUUAUGCAAAUCCUGAUUUGAUGAGUAAUUUGAUCGGAGAGAUGAGAUUAUUUUGUAAAGCUGAAGGUGAUUUUGGUAGAGUUUCUGCUAUACAAGAUCAUGAUGUCAUGCUUCCAGAAAUGCAAGGGGUAGAAAUUAUGAUCCUAUUGAUUUUGAGGACUUCAGCGCCAAUGAAACUUGGAUUUUGGAUGAUGAACCUUCACAGUUAACUUCAGCUGAAUUAGAAAGUUUUAGGAAUGAAAUAGCUACAUUUGCUAUCAGCCGACAAAGUGAUGAAACUCUAAAUUUGGAUGAUUUGGACACUGGAGAUGAAGAUGAGACCAAUAAUGAAGAGAAUGUUGAAAUAAAUGAUCUUAACACCGGCUGUGAUGUAAACGAACUUGGUGGUACUGAAUUUGGCAGAAGUUGGGAACCAUGGGCAUAAAUAAUAGAUGGAGUGAACUACUCAAGUGAUAAUUGUGGUGUUGUUUAUGUUUAUGACUUUGUGCUUGGUUGUAUUGAAUUGGUAGUUUAUGACUUAUGUUUUAUGGUUUGAUACUUAGAUUUAUCAUUUAUAUUUGUGUGUAAUUUACUGAUUUUAGUUUGAAUUCAUGAAUUGUGGAUCACAUAUGGUUAUGGAUUAUGUGUGUGAAAUGAACUAUAAAGUAUGAACUACGAACAGGUUAUAAUUGUUAAGAUUUAAGAAUUUCU